UCCUUUCCUGCCAGCCCCUUAUCUCUGAACUUUUCUUUCUUUGGUUCAGACAACAUUGGUUUGUGGAUGAAGGAGGAUUGACUGCAGUUCAUUUGCAUCAGGCGCCUGACCUGGCUGGGGGAGCAGUGUUGUUAACAUGGUCGAUGCUGCUCCGUGGCCGCUACUAGCACAAAGUUUGCAUACAGCUUUGUUUACCUACAAAAAGAGCUAGCGAGAGGAAGUGGCAAAGAUCUUGAGCCCUUCCUGUUUACCGCUUGCCCCACCUCCCAGAAUCACAGCUAGCUCGGCACUAUUUUAAAUACAAAAACAGAAACACUUUUAAUGAUCACUUAUGAAAAAUAUUACAUUUUGAAAUUGUACAGAAAAAUAAUCUUUCAGUGCCUCCCCAUCGCACCCAACAGAAGGGUCUGAUGGACAUCUAGAAACAGCCAGCAUGAGAUGGAUCAGAGGGGUACAGCCCAGGCUGGAAGAGUGGUUAGUAUCUACAGGAAUAAAUUAUGUGUUAUCAAAAAAAUAAAGUGAAUACACAAGAUUUAAGGAGUCCAUUAAAUAAACCAAAGUAAUAAUUGCACAGUAUGAAUUCAAAUGCUGAAGGCGUCCUUAGAAAUCAGUCAUUAGGAUAUUAGGCUAUAAGGUUAUUUCUAGAGUGUUACACGCAGGUUAGUAGCACAUGCUCACAACCAUCUCCUGGAGGGAAGCCGCGGAGGCCCUGUUCUCCGUGGCAGGGCAGGGCCUCGGGUGCAGGAGCCUGGGGGAUCUUUACAAAGUGCAGCUCCAUGGAGAGUCCCAGUGGAGGAGAACAGAUCCCAGGGGAGACUCUGACCUGUCUCCCAACACUUGGAACAGGUGGCUGGAGCACUCAGAGAGCAGGCGAUGGGGUGGGGUGGGGCGGGGUCCCUUGGCCUAGGCAGAACAGGGUCUACGAGUGUCAGUCUGGGCAAGCAGAGCCCGACACCUACUAGCCACAGGACUGCAGCUACAAGCCGGGGCAGACCCAGAAUGAGGGCAGGUCUUCACAGCGAGACCCGGGGGCGAAGCCCCUGAAUCCGUACAGCCCUCCCAGCCAAGGCCCUGCGCCUCCACCGGCUGGUGACAGGGAAGGGGCACUCUCCCCCCGACUUCAUAGCGCAAGGGGACUCUCCACUAUGUCACCUCUCCCCCAGCAAGUCGCUUCAGCCCCUGGGCUGCUGCUCCAAGCAAGCCACAGGCCGACCGCCAUCUUGUGGAUGGCAUUUGCCAGCCGUGGGUAAACUCCCUCCAAGCACCAACAAAGUGGCACCAUGUGGGGUCGCAUGCGGGAGGCCCCCUCCCAGCCACA
rnacentral:lncRNA from 1 species